GCGUUGGAAACGGGAGCUUGCAGAUGAAUGUAAUCAUGACUAGACUUCCGAUGUUCAGAGGAUAUCGCAGGACAUGGGAUACUACACGUCCUGCCUUCAGGAAAUGGUAGAUGUUGUAACGAGAGUAUUCAACCUAAAGGAAACAUGCCUCUCCAAACCUAGUUGAGGAACUUUACAAACAAUGGAGUACUGUCUGGGUGCAGUGGUGCACACCUGCAAUAUGAGCGGAACUGCUGGGAAGGCUGAGGUGGGAGGAUUUCAAAUUCAAGGCCAGCCUCAGCGAUUCAGCAAGACACUGUCCCAAAACUGAAAAAUAAAAAGGGCUGGGGAUAUAGCUCAGGGGCAUAUUGCCCCGGAGUUCAAUCCCUAGCAUUGCAAAAGAAAAAGAAAACGAAAAAAGAAAAUGGAAUAUCUUUUAUAAUGUUUCCUCCAGGAAGAUGCUCUGUACUUUGAAUGACAAAGUCAUUUUAUUUCAUUUUCAAGUUAUAAAAUUAUUCCAUGCCUGUAAAAUACUUGUCUAAACUAUAUCGUGUCACAAUACAUGAAUUUCCUCCCUGCCCGCACCCAGCCAAGAGUCACAGAUUCUGUUUUUC